AAGUUAAUUAUUUUCCCAAUCCAGCUAGUAAUCAAUAUUUCCCGGUCAGUUUUUGUCUUUGUGAACGGCCGGCCGGCCGAUGUAGAGUAUGUUCAGUCCGACAAUAUCGAAAUUGGCAGUGAUGUUGUCACUCAAUAGAAGAACGAAUUCAACCACACCAAAUGAGCCCCUUUUACACACACAAGACACGAUGUUGGAGGAAAAGGAAGAAUCAAAAGCAUCAAAUUUGGUGAAAAGAACUUGCCAAGAAUCAAAGAUGAUAUGGGAAAUUGCUGGACCCUCUAUUUUCAAUCGAUUGACCAUGUUUUCUCUCACUGUCAUCAGUCAAUCCUUCGCCGGACACUUGGGUAACCGUGACCUCGCCGCACUUUCCAUUGCCACCACCUUCUUCAUCUCCAUUACUUUCGGAUUCUUGCUGGGAAUGGCAAGUGCAUUGGAGACACUCUGUGGACAGGCUUAUGGGGCAAAGCAAUACGCCUUGUUAGGUGUAUACUUGCAGCGUUCUUUGAUCGUAUUGUUCCUCAGCUCUUUAGUACUAUUGCCUCUUUUUGUGUUUGCUGAGCCUAUAUUGGAGCUUCUGGGGCAGCCAGAAGAAGUGGCCAAAUUGACUGGAAAGGUUGCAAUUUGGCUGAUCCCAAUGCACUUGAGCUUUCCUUUUCAAUUUACAUUGUUAAGGUUCUUGCAGUGCCAGCUUAAAACAAUGGUAAUUGCUUGGGUUUCCGGUGGGACACUUGCUCUUCAUGUGGUUUUGUGUUGGAUUUUUCUUUAUAAAUUGGGAUUUGGAAUUGUUGGGACUGCCCUUAUUCUUGAUAUCUGUUGGUGGAUUUCUGUGUUGGGACUUGUUGCUUAUGUUGUUUUCGGUGGGUGCCCUCAUUCUUGGACUGGUUUCUCUAUCCAAGCGUUUGUUGGCCUUUGGGAUUUUCUCAAGCUCGCUAUGGCUUCUGGGGUGAUGCUACUGUUGGAGAAUAUUUAUUUCAGAGUGCUAGUUAUUGUGUCUGGGUACAUGAAUAAUACUGAGGUUGCAGUCGAUGCGCUCUCUAUCUGUAUUACUAUCAUCGGGUGGGAGUCCAUGAUUCCACUAGGAUUUUUGGCUGCCACAGGGGUACGUGUUGCUAAUGAGCUUGGAGCUGGAAACGGAAACCGUGCAAAGUUUGCUACGAAAGUUGCAUUGUUGAACACUUUAGCAUUGGGAAUUUUCUUUUGGUCAAUUAUUAUGGUCUUUCCUGAUAAGCUUUCUAUGAUCUUCACCUCAAGCAUUCCUGUCAUUAAAAUGGUGGGUGGAUUUGCUUUCUUGUUGGCAACCACAAUCCUCUGUAAUUGUGUUCAACCAGUUCUUUCAGGCGUAGCAGUUGGAUCCGGUUGGCAGGCACUUGUGGCAUAUGUUAACUUAGGCAGCUACUAUUUAGUAGGAGUGCCCCUUGGUAUCUUUUUUGGAUGGUCACUAAACUUUGGGUUAACGGGCUUAUGGUAUGGAAUGAUCAUGGGGACAGUAGUUCAAACCUUGAUUUUAGCGAUUAUGACCAUCAGAUGUCAAUGGACCAUAUAAAGAGGAUCAUGAAUCUUGUCCCGCAUUACGCCACAACGUGAGCUCUUACUCUAAAACCUUACAUACACAAAAUCUUGACAGCUUGCAACUGGAAAGGAAAAACAAAAACAACUUAGGCAUGGUGAAAGUUUGUUGUCUGCUUAUGUUGGAAGAUAUCUAUGCUAUUUGUUGUUGUAUAAUAACUUUGUUCCAGUUUGGAUUUUUCUCCCCAUUAAAUCAUCUGUAUCCGAAACUCACUUGAGCAUUCCCUCCAAUUGCUUAUGUGCUCGGCGAUGGGAGCUUGCAGAGACAGACAGUGAUGAGGUCUCAUUAGAUGGAGUGCUUCUUUUUACCCCUCUAUUUUUGAUCUUUUGGCAUUAGGAGAGCAGGGGAGAGGUGUUUAGACAAUACAAUGGCAAGCUUACCGAGGAAAUGAGUCUUAUACGAGGAUAUGGAUCGUUGUUGAUACUAAUAUUGUUUACUGUAUUUUCUUUUCCUGAUAUGCUUUACUUGAUAUGAGGGUCUAUCAAAAACAUCCUCCCUAUCCCUAUAAAGUAGGGAUAAGGUUACGUUCCCUCCAUUUUUUUCAAACUCCAUUUGUGGGAUUGAACUGGGUAUGUUAUUGUUGUUGUAGAGAAAGCGCGCAGAAGUGUGUCUGAGUGGUAUAGAUAUUGAAUUCAUUGAAGUAUUUUUUUUU